UCUCUCUUUCUCUUUCUCCACCACUGUAGGAGUUCUGCUCUCAGGCUGGCAUUUUCCUCACGCGCUAUCAGUUUCAACAAGCGGAAAUAAAGUUUGCUCUGUCUCAGGGCAUCAGUCUGAGAGCAGGAGAGACGCUGGAGUUUUCUUAACCAGCUUACGUCGGAAGCAGGAGGUGCGAAGGUUUCGGGUUUCCACCGCUGGUUCACCUGGAAGGAGUCGCCUGAGCCUCUUGCCUUGUAAAUAAGGAGAUUUGUCAUCGACGCUCCAAAUGAGAGGCCUGUGGUAAUCUGAAAAUGCCAGACUCGUUCGGAUUACAUCUCUCGUCGUGUGAUGAAAAUGAAAAGGAUGAAGGCAGGUGUCGUUCUACAAGCCACUUUCUAACCAUGAUAAUAGCUGUGACAACAGAAGAGCUGCGAGCUACCCAACAAAAGAGGACCCGACGCGCACACACUUUUGGUGGUCUUGGUCACUGUCUACAUUGGUGGCUGGAGUAGUCGGAGGAUUACGCUUUUGUGCGUUGUGAAAAGUUACCAGCUGACCACUUACCUCCAUGUAGAUGGCUUUGCUGCUGUUAGUUUGCCCAAUGGCUUGCCAUGUACGUCGACGGAAGCAAAGAGUAGUUGACAAUGAUGACGGUUCCUGAAAGCAGGUAAGACGAAAUCAAAACCCAAAAAAAUUAAAUAAACAAGUAAAUAACAGGGUGCGAAUGUGGUAAAAUCU